GAAAGGAUGAAUGAAAAGUCCGGAGCCGGAGCGCGCCGGGGCCAGAGCCGCGGCAGAGGCAGAGGAGGGAGCUAGGAGGUGAGACCCGCUCCACCCUGCUCGCCUAGGCUCGGCGGAGGCUAAGAGCAGGGCAGCCUCCUCUGUCCGGCGCCCGCUGAGCCCCGGCAUCUGGAACUCAGGGCCCUGGCGCUCCAGGGGCGGGAACUGGCCGGGAGGACCGCGCGGGAGAGCACGGAUGGGCACCCUGGGCUCGAUUGCAUUUGACCUACCUCAGGAUAUCCAAAGGAAAACAGAGGGAAGUGGGGGGUUGAGAACUGACACCCUACAACGCCAGCACCUCAGUGGAAAGGAGGAAUAGAGCCCAGGAGGGAUGUGGGGAAUGUAAAAAGGGCAGCUCUCUGGCAUGUUCCUGACUGAGGAUCUCAUAACAUUUAACUUGAGGAACUUCCUCCUUUUCCAGCUUUGGGAGUCAAGCUUCUCACCUGGGGCGGGUGGGUUCUGCACCACCCUCCCACCCUCCUUCCUCCGUGUGGACGAUAGAGCCACAUCCAGCACCACGGACAGCUCCCGGGCGAUCCCAUGGGAGUAGAAGAGGUGUGAGCAGGUUGCCCAGCUGGUUAGCGGAAAUGCCAAGAUCCAGGCUCCUGAAUUUCAGCCUGGCCCUUUCUAUCUGUCUGAUACCUCCUUUACGAGUCUCUCUGCCUGGGUUGUGUGGAGCGGACCUGCUGCUGGUUGGGGGAGUUUGCAGGUUGCCCCUAUGCAAAAA
rnacentral:sRNA from 1 species